AGUUCAUUUUCACAACAACACCCAAGUAAAGCCAACCUAGUGUUGUGUUUGUUCCUGUCAUUUUUCUGAUGAUUAAUACAACAACCUAUGCUGCAACCCAGGAUUCGUCAGCCGUUUGCUAUUAAAGGAAGAAGCAGAGUCUAUUAUGUAUGGGGUUUUGUCAGACUUUGACUGGUAGUUUGUCAGUAACUGUUACAGUGCAAAUGGACCAGUUUCUUCUUCCUCCGGAUCAUAACAUGAGGCCUGUCUGAUAUGUGGAGAAGAAGUUUCUGCUGAAGUGAUGUUGUACCAUGCAAGUGCAUGUGGAGAAAGAAGUCUGCAUAUUCUUAGAUCCAACCAGUAUCCUGAGCAGUUGGCUGUCAUGGUCAUGGAUGAGUCGAGAACCUGAGACUGAUUCCUGCAAAAACCCCUGUGACAGCCGAGUGUCCACAUUAAUCCUG
rnacentral:lncRNA from 1 species